CAGCAGUCAGUGUUAUCAAGAAGCAAAUUAUAAAGUAGGAAAAGUUUCUGAGUACCUAGAAGAAACAUUUCCAUCAAGUCUGAGGCCAUGGCUCAGAGGGCAGAAACCAGGAGACACAAUCUCACAGCAAACUCUGUUUUCCUGGCUCUGACAAAUUUUUUUUGCAUCAUCUUCCAUAAUGAUCCCCGAGGCCUCGGGUUCAGGAGUUGUUUUGUAGAUGUGUCAGCUGGGACUGGACCCCACGACUCCGAGUGUUGAUCCGUCGUGCCCGUCGUGGUUCCGUAAUGGUCUCCAUCUGUUUCGGACAGAAGUUCCUUUGAUGAGGGGUGAGGACUAAG